rnacentral:lncRNA from 1 species
GGAGAUUGCUUAAAGAACUGUUUUUGAUAUUUCUGUUGAUAAUAUUGAUAAGUAUUUCACAAUCUCCUUCAAAAACGACGUUUGUAAAACCCCGACUCCAUGUUUGUUGUAACGCAGCUAGAAGAGCCUUUGUUUCCGCUUCCAAAGGAGUGGCCGCAUGAUCCAGAAGUAAAGAACCCCAAACUUUUGGAAAUCCUUGGUAAUCUCUGAUGAUCCAUCCACCUAUUGCCUGUAGAUUAUGAAUAUGGAAACCUGCAUCAAAAUUGCAUUUAACAUAGUGUUGGAUAGGUGCUGUCCACUUUUUCGUAUAAUGACUGGGUUGCCGUUGUGUUGUUGACAAAAAUCUUUGUUGUCUAGUAGCCUCAACCCAUUCUUUAGUUUCCGCCUGCGCUUGUAAA